GAUCAUUACUGAUUUGCUUAAUUGCACCACAUGUGUUUUUCUUUGAAACAAACUUGCUUUGGCGGUGGGCCCAGCCUGCCGCCAGAGGUCUAAACUUACAACCAAUUUUUUAUCAACUUGUCACACCAGAUUAUUACUAAUAGUCAAAACUUUCAACAACGGAUCUCUUGGUUCUCGCAUCGAUGAAGAACGCAGCGAAAUGCGAUACGUAAUAUGAAUUGCAGAUAUUCGUGAAUCAUCGAAUCUUUGAACGCACAUUGCGCCCUCUGGUAUUCCGGAGGGCAUGCCUGUUUGAGCGUCGUUUCUCCCUCAAACCGCUGGGUUUGGUGUUGAGCAAUACGACUUGGGUUUGCUUGAAAGACGGUAGUGGUAAGGCGGGAUCGCUUUGACAAUGGCUUAGGUCUAACCAAAAACAUUGCUUGCGGCGGCAACGUCUACCACGUAUAUCUUCAAACUUUGACCUCAAAUCAGGUAGGACUACCCGCUGAACUUAAGCAUAUCAAUAAGCGGAGGAA
rnacentral:rRNA from 1 species